CGGGGGUGGGGUCGGCGG
rnacentral:miRNA from 1 species